GGCGAAUGUACCCAAGUGGUUAAGGCAGUA
rnacentral:tRNA from 1 species